UUAAAGCUUUGUUUAUUUUAUUUUCUACUAUAUGAAUAUUUGAGCCUGAACAGUAAACUGCUAAAUCAUCAGCAAACUGUAAAUUGCUGACUUCAUUACCAAGAAUAAUAUUAAUUUUAUGAAUAUACAAAAUAAAUAACAGUGGACUCAAUAUUCCCCCUUGACAUACACCUAUAUAUGAAGAUUGUGGACCAUAUAAAUUAUUAUUGUACUUAACAUAGACUUGUCUAUUAUGUAGGAAAUUAAAAAUCCAGUUAAUCAACUUAUCUGGUAUUCCUAGUGUUUGCAGUUCAUUAGUUAGAAUAUGAUGAUUAACAUUGUUAAAAGCACCAACUAUAUCAAAGAAGACAGAAACCAGUAUAUUGUUACUAGAAAAAGCACGAUGAAUAUCUAGGUUUAAAUGAUUUAAGCUCUCUGUAGCUGAAAAACCUUUCCUGAAGCCAAACUGAUUUGAAGAUAACUGAUAGAGGAGUUUGCCGAUUAAUCGACUCACAGAAUUUUAUCCAGCUGGCAUUUCUUUCGUUUUUGAGAUGUUACAUAAAAGGUGGGUGAUGGUUGGAAGAUGAUAGCUCCCUAAAGGAUUAUCAUGUACAGACCAAUUGCAUCGGAGUGACAGAGAGGCAGAAACAAUUGUAAGAUCCAGAGCACUUGGACUCCAUAUAUCAGAGCCUACAGUAGUGGGUUGACCAUUAUUAAUUAUACAAAGAUCAUUGUCUUCAAUAGUAUUAAGAAGAAUAGUGCCUCUAGAAUCGGUUCUAGAGCAACCCCAAGUGGUAUUGUGGGCGUUAAAGUCACCAGCUAUUAUCAUAGGUGAUGGGAUAGAUUUAAAUAAGUUAUCUAAAUGUAAAUGUGUAAAGUUACGUGACAUUGCGGAUGUAGGGCUGUAAAAACUAACAAAAGAAAUUGUUUCAUUUUUCAAAUAUAAUUUUAAAGCGAUAUUUUGCAAAGAAUCAUCGUGAUAUGUAUUUAAUCUGUUAUAAUUCAAUUUGUUUUGUAUUAGAAUGGCUACACCAUUAUGAUUAUUACCAAUGUCUAAUCUUUCUAUAUUAUAACCUUUGAUAUUAAAGUUUUUGAAAGGCUUUAGCCAAGUUUCAGAAAGAAGGGCGAUAUGUAUAUUGUUGUUAUAUAAAAAAUAAGUAAAAGCAAGUCUAUUAUUUAUUAAGCUCUGGGCAUUCCACUCGAUAAUAUUUAAAAUAUUAUCCAUUAAAGAGAUACUAUUAAUUAGUGUUAGUACUGGAAAUCUUAAAAGUAUCUAAAAUUAUGUUUUUUAUGCCUUCUGAGUUUAAGGGAGAGUCAUCUGUUUUAUUAACAGAAAUAAUUUUAAUAACUGAUGCAAUGAUUAAUUUUAAA